AACCGCCCCUCCUCCCCGUAUAAGCAAUUAUACCGUGAAACUGCGAAUGGCUCAUUAAAUCACGUUAUCGUUUAUUUGAUAAUACCUUACUACUUGGAUAACCGUGGUAAUUCUAGAGCUAAUACAUGCUGAAAAUCCCGACUUCGGAAGGGAUGUGUUUAUUAGAUAAAAAACCAAUGCCCUUCGGGGCUUUUUGGUGAUUCAUGAUAACUUUACGGAUCGCAUAGCCUUGCGCUGGCGACGGUUCAUUCAAAUUUCUGCCCUAUCAACUUUCGAUGGUAAGGUAUUGGCUUACCAUGGUUUCAACGGGUAACGGGGAAUUAGGGUUCGAUUCCGGAGAGGGAGCUUGAGAAACGGCUACCCAUCAAGGAAGGCAGCGGCGCGCAAAUUACCCAAUCCCGACACGGGGAGGUAGUGACAAUAAAUACUGAUACAGGGCUCUUUUGGGUCUUGUAAUUGGAAUGAGUACAAUUUAAACCUCUUAACGAGGAACAAUUGGAGGGCAAGUCUGGUGCCAGCAGCCGCGGUAAUUCCAGCUCCAAUAGCGUAUAUUAAAGUUGUUGCAGUUAAAAAGCUCGUAGUUGAAACUUGGGCCUGGCUGGCGGGUCCGCCUCACCGCGUGCACUCGUCCGGCCGGGCCUUCCUUCUGAAGAACCUCAUGCCCUUCACUGGGCGUGCUGGGGAAUCAGGACUUUUACUUUGAAAAAAUUAGAGUGUUCAAAGCAGGCCUUUGCUCGAAUACGUUAGCAUGGAAUAAUAAAAUAGGGCGUGCGUUUCUAUUUUGUUGGUUUCUAGAGACGCCGCAAUGAUUAACAGGAACAGUCGGGGGGCAUCAGUAUUCAGUUGUCAGAGGUGAAAUUCUUGGAUUUACUGAAGACUAACUACUGCGAAAGCAUUUGCCAAGGAUGUUUUCAUUAAUCAGUGAACGAAAGUUAGGGGAUCAAAGACGAUCAGAUACCGUCGUAGUCUUAACCGUAAACUAUGCCGACUAGGGAUCGGGCGAUGUUCUUUUUCUGACUCGCUCGGCACCUUACGAGAAAUCAAAGUUUUUGGGUUCUGGGGGGAUUAUGGUCGCAAGGCUGAAACUUAAAGAAAUUGACGGAAGGUCACCACCAGGCGUGGAGCCUGCGGCUUAAUUUGACUCAACACGGGGAAACUCACCAGGUCCAGAUGAAAUAAGGAUUGACAGAUUGAGAGCUCUUUCUUGAUUUUUCAGGUGGUGGUGCAUGGCCGUUCUUAGUUCGUGGGGUGACUUGUCUGCUUAAUUGCGAUAACGAGCGAGACCUUACUCUGCUAAAUAGCCAGGCUAACUUUGGUUGGUCGCCGGCUUCUUAGAGAGACUAUCAACUGCAAGGGGAAGGU
rnacentral:rRNA from 1 species